rnacentral:rRNA from 1 species
AUUGAACGCUGGCGGCAGGCCUAACACAUGCAAGUCGAGCGGGGUUUUCGGACCUAGCGGCGGACGGGUGAGUAAUGCGUAGGAAGCUGCCCGAUAGAGGGGGAUACCAGUUGGAAACGACUGUUAAUACCGCAUAAUGUCUACGGACCAAAGUGUGGGACCUUCGGGCCACAUGCUAUCGGAUGCGCCUACGUGGGAUUAGCUAGUUGGUGAGGUAAUGGCUCACCAAGGCGACGAUCUCUAGCUGGUUUGAGAGGAUGAUCAGCCACACUGGAACUGAGACACGGUCCAGACUCCUACGGGGGGCAGCAGUGGGGAAUAUUGGACGAUGGGCGCAAGCCUGAUCCAGCCAUGCCGCGUGUGUGAAGAAGGCCUUCGGGUUGUAAAGCACUUUCAGCGAGGAGGAAGGGUGUGUGUUAAUAGCACAUCAUUUUGACGUUACUCGCAGAAGAAGCACCGGCUAACUCUGUGCCAGCAGCCGCGGUAACAC